GCCGAGGUGGCGGAAUGGCAGACGCGCUAGUUUGAGGGGCUAGUGAACGCAUAGUUCGUCAGGGUUCAAGUCCCUGUCUCGGCACCA
rnacentral:tRNA from 1 species